rnacentral:rRNA from 1 species
UACGUAGGGGGGCAAGCGUUGUCCGGAUUUAUUGGGCGUAAAGCGCACGUAGGCGGCCCAGCAAGUUGGAUGUGAAAUCCCUCGGCUCAACCGAGGACGUGCAUCCAAAACUGCUGGGCUUGAGUACUGAAGAGGAUCGCGGAAUUCCCGGUGUAGAGGUGAAAUUCGUAGAUAUCGGGAGGAACACCAGUGGCGAAGGCGGCGAUCUGGGCAGAUACUGACGCUGAGGUGCGAAAGCGUGGGGAGCAAACAGG